UACGUAGGGUGCAAGCGUUGCCCGGAUUUAUUGGGCGUAAAGGGCGCGUAGGCGGCUCGGCACGUCCGUUGUGAAAUCGCCCGGCUCAACUGGGCGGGGUCAGCGGAUACGGCCGAGCUUGAGCAAGCUAGGGGGCAAUGGAAUUCCCGGUGUAGUGGUGGAAUGCGUAGAUAUCGAGAGGAACACCUGCGGCGAAGGCGGGUUGCUGGGCUGACACUGACGCUGAAGCGCGAAAGCUAGGGGAGCGAACGGG
rnacentral:rRNA from 1 species